CCUGCGGCCGAACCUGUGGGUUCGCGAAAAGGGUUGUUGUGCAGCGUGACCAUGCUGCACGAGGACGACUUUACGUUCUCAAGAUAGAGCAGCACACAUCGGUGUGCCGCUCCCUCGAUGCCACGCCCCCGGAAGGGGCGUGGCAUUGCUGGUGU
rnacentral:sRNA from 1 species